GCUCAGGAUGAACGCUGGCGGCGUGCCUAAUACAUGCAAGUCGAGCGAAUGGAUUAAGAGCUUGCUCUUAUGAAGUUAGCGGCGGACGGGUGAGUAACACGUGGGUAACCUACCCAUAAGACUGGGAUAACUCCGGGAAACCGGGGCUAAUACCGGAUAAUAUUUUGAACUGCAUAGUUCGAAAUUGAAAGGCGGCUUCGGCUGUCACUUAUGGAUGGACCCGCGUCGCAUUAGCUAGUUGGUGAGGUAACGGCUCACCAAGGCGACGAUGCGUAGCCGACCUGAGAGGGUGAUCGGCCACACUGGGACUGAGACACGGCCCAGACUCCUACGGGAGGCAGCAGUAGGGAAUCUUCCGCAAUGGACGAAAGUCUGACGGAGCAACGCCGCGUGAGUGAUGAAGGCUUUCGGGUCGUAAAACUCUGUUGUUAGGGAAGAACAAGUGCUAGUUGAAUAAGCUGGCACCUGAC
rnacentral:rRNA from 1 species